rnacentral:rRNA from 1 species
GACGAACGCUGGCGGCGUGCUUAACACAUGCAAGUCGAACGGAAAGGCCCUGCUUGCAGGGUGCUCGAGUGGCGAACGGGUGAGUAACACGUGGGUGAUCUGCCCCUUACUUUGGGAUAAGCCUGGGCAACUGGGUCUAAUACUGGAUAGGACCAUGCUGUAGGCGGUGUGGUGGAAAGAUUAGUUUCGGUAAGGGAUGAGCUCGCGGCCUAUCAGCUUGUUGGUGGGGUAUUGGCCUAACAAGGCGUCGACGGGUAGCCGGCCUGAGAGGGUGGACGGCCAGAUUGGGACUGAGAUACGGCCCAGACUCCUACGGGAGGCAGCAGUGGGGAAUAUUGCACAAUGGGCGCAAGCCUGAUGCAGCGACGCCGCGUGGGGGAUGACGGCCUUCGGGUUGUAAACUCCUUUCGGCCAUGACGAAGCCCUUGUGGUGACGGUAGUGGUAGAAGAAGCACCGGCUAACUACGUG